AAGGAAUUUGUCUAGGUGACAGGAGCUACCAGUCAACAACAAUACAAACAAUACCAAAAAACAGCAGCAAGACAUAGGUAAUUAAAAACAAAAAAGAACACAAAAUAAAUAAUUAUACAUAUACGUACAUACACUCACCUUCAUACAUACCCACAUACACACACGUAGUGCAAAUCUAAUACAAUCUGUAUAUAAAGAACAAAAAACAGUAUAUUAUGUACAGAGCAAUGUAAGUAAAAGCAGAUAAACCUCACAGUUUGAGUGUAUGGUGAAGCUAGAAUUAAUAAGACCGCAGUUAUAGGCUUGUUACUUUAAUAGCCCGACGUUCCUGGGGACUCGGCUAAGGUUAUUCAUGUUUAAUGUAACUCAAAUCAAAUGAAAACAGUUAUUGUAGGCAGGUAAGUUUCCCUAGCUGGUCCCCUCUGUGUAAAAUGCGUUCUUAUUCAAGUUUUCAACUCAGUCAUUCGUUUAAGAUGCAAUCUUGUGUUAUAAGUAUUAGGCUAUCAUGAUUAUACAGUGAGCAAGCUAUAUAAAUAAGUAUUUAAUAUAAUAAAAGUGUAGAGCAACAACCGAGGGUGUAAGGUAAAGGCUGAAUAUUGUAGAUUUAUUACAAUAUGUUGCAUGUUUGAAUUAAAAUACCUGUGGAUAUGCAGGAGCACACACUCUACAAAGGCCUGACUGGAGAUUUGCCUGAUCUAUCCGUCCUUCAGAUGACAGCGGCUCGCUUCAAGAGCAGGUGAAGCAAGUUGGGACAAUGUUGAAGACAUUUGCUCGCACUGGGCAAUCGGGUGCAGAUCAAACCCUAAUGCUGCGACGUCUUGGAAUUUGGCGAUGUUGUGCGUAGCAUGGACGACAAAAUGCUAUGCUGCAACGUUUCAGUGCCAAUGUGUCUGUUGGAGAGUUAUCCUUGCCAGGGGAUCUGUUACUCCCCCCUAGACACCCAGGAAGAUUUGGCGUCGCUUGACAACAGUUUGAGGCAGGAUAAAGAGCUCCAGCAAUGAUUUCUUCGGUUUUUGGCAAUCAAAUGUGGGAGGGACCUAAAGACAACCGUGUGGCGAAUGCUUCAGAGUAUCUUCUCUAAUCACCUUUCCAUCAAUACAACCUGGACUGGUGUAGGGGAUAAAGCAUGUUUUAGAGACAUGUUCCUGAA